GAUGAACGCUAGCGGGAGGCUUAAUACAUGCAAGUCGAGGGGUAACAGGGGCUUCGGCCCGCUGACGACCGGCGAACGGGUGAGUAACACGUGAGAAACCUGCCCUGGAGUGGGGAAUAACUCGGGGAAACUCGAGCUAAUACCGCAUACCCUCGGAUGGUCGCAUGGCCGACCGAGGAAAGAUUCAUCGCUCUAGGAGGGUCUCGCGGCCUAUCAGCUAGUUGGUGGGGUAACGGCCUACCAAGGCAACGACGGGUAGCUGGUUUGAGAGAACGAUCAGCCACACUGGGACUGAGACACGGCCCAGACUCCUACGGGAGGCAGCAGUGGGGAAUCUUGCGCAAUGGGCGAAAGCCUGACGCAGCAAUGCCGCGUGCGGGAUGACGGCCUC
rnacentral:rRNA from 1 species